UCGCCCAUAGCUCAGUUGGAUAGAGCCCUCACACAAUGUGCGAGAGGUCCCGAGUUCGACUCUCGGUGGGCGAC